UACGUAGGCAGCGAGCGUUGUUCGGAGUUACUGGGCGUAAAGAGUGCGUAGGCGGUUUUCUAAGUUUGGUGUGAAAUCUCCCGGCUCAACUGGGAGGGUGCGCCGAAGACUGGAAGGCUUGAGUAUGGGAGAGGUAAGCGGAAUUCCUGGUGUAGCGGUGAAAUGCGUAGAUAUCAGGAGGAACACCUGCGGUGUAGACGGCUUACUGGACCAUAACUGACGCUGAGGCACGAAAGCGUGGGUAGCAAAACAGG
rnacentral:rRNA from 1 species